rnacentral:misc_RNA from 1 species
GUUAUAGGUGUUGGCGUUUGCACUGUCACUGAUGUCAAGGUUAAUGCCAAAGGUUUUAUUUGUGCCUGUGUAGCUGUUCUGUCUACGUCUUUGCAGCAAAUUACUAUAGGUUCCUUACAGAAGAAGUACUCAAUUGGAUCAUUUGAACUGUUAAGUAGAACAGCUCCAAUUCAAGCCCUUUCUCUUCUUAUUGUUGGUCCAUUUGUUGACUACUACCUCAAUGGAAAAUUUAUAACAACAUAUAAGAUGUCUACCGGUGCCAUUUUAUUUAUAAUUCUUUCAUGUUCCCUAGCUGUGUUCUGCAAUGUGAGUCAGUACCUCUGUAUUGGAAGAUUCUCAGCAGUUUCCUUCCAGGUUUUAGGUCACAUGAAAACAGUUUGUGUUCUCACACUGGGAUGGCUGCUCUUUGAUUCUGCGUUGACUUUUAAGAAUAUAAUGGGGAUGGUUAUUGCAGUAGCUGGCAUGGUUGUUUAUAGUUGGGCUGUAGAGGCUGAAAAGAGUGCAAGUGCCAAGGCCAUACCCCCUAUGAAGAACAGUCUGACGGAAGAGGAAAUCAGACUUCUGAAGGAGGGAGUCCAAAGCGCUCCUGUGAAGGAUGUUGAACUUGGUGAGUCUAAGGGAUAGGUGGUACUUGGCUGGAUAUUGGAUAUUUGUUCUCAAUUCAGUUUAGUAUAACUUGCAUAUUUAUGUGGCUGCAAGACAGUCAUUGGCUGACCCC